rnacentral:rRNA from 1 species
AGCAGCCGCGGUAAUUCCAGCUCCAAUAGCGUAUAUUAAAGUUGUUGCAGUUAAAAAGCUCGUAGUUGAAUUUCGGGAUUGACACAUCGGUCGUGCCUUAAGGGGUAUGAACUGGUGUAGUCAAUUUCUCACCUUCUGGAGAACGGCAAUGCCCUUAAUUGGGUGUCGCGGGGAACCAGGACCUUUACUUUGAAAAAAUUAGAGUGUUUAAAGCAGGCAUUUUGCUUGAAUACAUUAGCAUGGAAUAAUAAAAUAGGACGGAUGAUUCUAUUUUGUUGGUUUCUAGGACCACCGUAAUGAUUAAUAGGGAUAGUUGGGGGCAUUAGUAUUCAAUUGUCAGAGGUGAAAUUCUUGGAUUUAUUGAAGACUAACUACUGCGAAAGCAUUUGCCAAGGAUGUUUUCAUUAAUCAAGAACGAAAGUUAGGGGUUCGAAGACGAUCAGAUACCGUCGUAGUCUUAACCAUAAACUAUGCCGACUAGGGAUCGGAUGAUGU